rnacentral:rRNA from 1 species
UGCCAGCCGCCGCGGUAAUACAUAGGUGGCAAGCGUUAUCCGGAUUUAUUGGGCGUAAAGAGUGCACAGGUGGUUAUAUUAGUCGGUUGUUGAAGCCUGGGGCUUAACCCCAGUACGCUUCCGAAACUGUAUAACUAGAAUGCAGGUGGGGGUAGUGGAAUUCCGAGUGUAGCGGUGGAAUGCAUAAAUAUUCGGAGGAACACCAGUGGCGAAGGCGGCUACCUGAACUGUAAUUGACACUUAAGCACGAAAGCGUGGGGAGCAAAUAGGAUUAGAUA